AGCGAGCGUUAGCGGCGCGCCUAACACAUGCAAGUCGCACGAGAGGGGGCGAACCCCUGAAGAUGGCGCACGGUGGCGUAACACGUAGAUAAUCUGCCCUUCGGCGGGGAUAACGUUCCGAAAGGAGCGCUAAUACCGCAUACAGCGCUCGGUGGUUCGCCACUGAGCGGCAAAGGUUGGGACCGGCAACGGCCAAUCACCGAGGGAGGAGUCUGCGGCCCAUCAGCUAGUUGGUAAGGUAACGGCUUACCAAGGCAAAGACGGGUAGCUGGUCUGAGAGGAUGAUCAGCCACACUGGUACUGGAACACGGACCAGACUCCUACGGGAGGCAGCAGUGGGGAAUCUUGGUCAAUGGGCGCAAGCCUGAACCAGCGACGCCGCGUGAGUGAUGAAGGCCUUCGGGUUGUAAAGCUCUGUGGGGAGGGACGAAAAGCCUGGGUUCUAACAGGACUCAGUUUGACGGUACCUCCAUAGCAAGCACCGGCUAACUCUGUGCCAGCAGCCGCGGUAAGACAGAGGGUGCAAACGUUGCUCGGAAUCACUGGGCGUAAAGGGCGUGUAGGCGGGAAGGUAAGUCGGGCGUGAAAUCCCUGGGCUCAACCAGGAACUGCACUCGAAACUAGCAUUUUCUUGAGUGCCGGAGAGGAAAGCGGAAUUCCUGGUGUAGAGGUGAAAUUCGUAGAUAUCAGGAGGAACACCAGUGGCGAAGGCGGCUUUCUGGACGGUAACUGACGCUGAGACGCGAAAAG
rnacentral:rRNA from 1 species